rnacentral:rRNA from 1 species
GAUGAACGCUGGCGGCGUGCCUAAUACAUGCAAGUCGAGCGAACAGACGCGGCUUUUGCUCCUCUGACGUUAGCGGCGGACGGGUGAGACACACGUGGAUAACCUACCUAUAAGACUGGGAUAACUUCGGGAAACCGGAGCUAAUACCGGAUAAUAUAUUGAACCGCAUGGUUCAAUAGUGAAUGACGGUUUUGCUGUCACUUAUAGAUGGAUCCGCGCCGCAUUAGCUAGUUGGUAAGGUAACGGCUUACCAAGGCAACGAUGCGUAGCCGACCUGAGAGGGUGAUCGGCCACACUGGAACUGAGACGCGGUCCAGACUCCUACGGGAGGCAGCAGUAGGGAAUCUUCCGCAAUGGGCGAAAGCCUGACGGAGCAACGCCGCGUGAGUGAUGAAGGUCUUCGGAGCGUAAAACUCUGUUAUUAGGGAAGAACAAAUGUGUAAGUAACUAUGCACGUCUUGACGGUACCUAAUCAGAAAGCCACGGCUAACUACGUG